GACACGACCGUACCGCAAACCGACACUGGUGCGCGAGAUGAGUAUUCUAAGGCGCUUGAGGGAACUCAGGAGAAGGAACUCGGCAAAUUGACACCGUAACUUCGGAAGAAGGUGUGCCUUUAGUAGGUGAACCUGUACAAGGGGAGCCCAAUGAGGUUGCAAAAAAUCGGUGGCUGCGACUGUUUAAUAAAAACACAGCACUCUGCAAACACGAAAGUGGACGUAUAGGGUGUGACGCCUGCCCGGUGCUGGAAGAUUAAAUGAUGGGGUGCAAGCUCUUGAUUGAAGUCCCAGUAAACGGCGGCCGUAACUAUAACGGUCCUAAGGUAGCGAAAUUCCUUGUCGGGUAAGUUCCGACCUGCACGAAUGGCGUAACGAUGGCCACACUGUCUCCUCCUGAGACUCAGCGAAGUUGAAAUGUUUGUGAUGAUGCAAUCUCCCCGCGGAAAGACGGAAAGACCCCAUGAACCUUUACUGUAGCUUUGUAUUGGACUUUGAACAGAUCUGUGUAGGAUAGGUGGGAGGCUUUGAAGUGUGGUCGCUAGAUCGCAUGGAGCCAACGUUGAAAUACCACCCUGGUGUGUUUGAGGUUCUAACCUAGGCCCGUAAUCCGGGUCGGGGACAGUGCAUGGUAGGCAGUUUGACUGGGGCGGUCUCCUCCCAAAGCGUAACGGAGGAGUUCGAAGGUACGCUAGGUACGGUCGGACAUCGUGCUAAUAGUGCAAUGGCAUAAGCGUGCUUAACUGCGAGACUGACAAGUCGAGCAGAUGCGAAAGCAGGACAUAGUGAUCCGGUGGUUCUAUGGAAGGGCCAUCGCUCAACGGAUAAAAGGUACUCUGGGGAUAACAGGCUGAUACCGCCCAAGAGUUCAUAUCGACGGCGGUGUUUGGCACCUCGAUGUCGGCUCAUCUCAUCCUGGGGCUGUAGCCGGUCCCAAGGGUAUGGCUGUUCGCCAUUUAAAGAGGUACGUGAGCUGGGUUUAAAACGUCGUGAGACAGUUUGGUCCCUAUCUUCCGUGGGCGCUGCAGAUUUGAGGAAGCCUGCUCCUAGUACGAGAGGACCGGAGUGGACACACCUCUGGUGUAUCGGUUGUCACGCCAGUGGCAUUGCCGAGUAGCUAUGUGUGGAAGAGAUAACCGCUGAAAGCAUCUAAGCGGGAAACUCGUUUCAAGAUGAGAUCUGCCGGGGCCUUGAGCCCCCUAAAGAGUCGUUCAAGACCAGGACGUUGAUAGGUCGGGUGUGGAAGCGCAGUAAUGCGUUAAGCUAACCGAUACUAAUUGCUCGUGCGGCUUGACCA
rnacentral:rRNA from 1 species